GGACAACCUGCCCUGAGGACUGGAAUAAUCCCGGGAAACUGGGGGUAAUUCCAGAUAUGCCAGAACUCCUGGAAUGGGUUCUGGCAKAAAGGCUCCGGCGCCUCAGGAUGAGUCUGCGUCCGAUUAGGCUGUUGUUGGGGUAACGGCCCAACAAACCUAAGAUCGGUACGGGUCGUGAGAGCGAUCGCCCGGAGAUUGGAUCUGAGAUAUGAUCCUAGGCCCUACGGGGUGCAGCAGGCGCGAAAACUUUACAAUGUGGGAAACCAUGAUAAGGGAAUUCCCAGUGUUCCUACAUAGUAGGAACUGUUUAGGUGCGUAAAAAACACCUAAUAGAAAGGGCCGGGUAAGACCGGUGCCAGCCGCCGCGGUAACACCGGCGGCCCGAGUGGUAACCGCUAUUAUUGGGUCUAAAGGGUCUGUAGCCGGCCAGGUAAGUCCCUUGGGAAAUCUGGCAGCUCAACUGUCAGGCUGCUAGGGGAUACUGUUUGGCUUGGGACCGGGAGAGGUGAGAGGUACCUUGGGGGUAGGGGUGAAAUCUUGUGAUCCUCGGGGGACCACCAGUGGCGAAGGCGUCUCACCAGAACGGGUCCGACGGUAAGGGACGAAAGCUAGGGGCACGAACCGGAUUAGAUACCCGGGUAGUCCUAGCCGUAAACGAUGCUCGCUAGGUGUCAGUCACGGUGCGACCGUGAUUGGUGCCGUAGGGAAGCCGUGAAGCGAGCCACCUGGGAAGUAUGGCCGCAAGGCUGAAACUUAA
rnacentral:rRNA from 1 species